rnacentral:rRNA from 1 species
UACGUAGGCAGCGAGCGUUGGUCGGAGUUACUGGGCGUAAAGGGUGUGUAGGCGGUUCUUUAAGUUUGGUGUGAAAUCUCCCGGCUCAACCGGGAGGGUGCGCCAAAUACUGAGGGACUAGAGUACGGGAGAGGAAAGUGGAAUUCCUGGUGUAGCGGUGAAAUGCGUAGAUAUCGUAAGGAAGACCAGUGGCGAAGGCGGGUCUCUGGACAGUUACUGACGCUGAGGCACGAAGGUCAGGGGAGCAAACGGG